rnacentral:rRNA from 1 species
GACGAACGCUGGCGGCGUGCCUAACACAUGCAAGUCGAACGGAGAUAUGAUUUCGGUUAUAUCUUAGUGGCGAACGGGUGAGUAACGCGUGAGCAACCUGACUCUUAGAGGGGGAUAACACCCGGAAACGAGUGCUAAUACCGCAUAAGACCACGACAUGGCAUCAUGACGAGGUCAAAGGAGCAAUCCGCUGAGAGAGGGGCUCGCGUCCCAUUAGAUAGAUGGCGGGGUAACGGCCCACCAUGUCAGCGAUGGGUAGCCGAGCUGAGAGGCUGAUCGGCCACACUGGAACUGAGACACGGUCCAGACUCCUACGGGAGGCAGCAGUGGGGAAUAUUGGGCAAUGGGCGCAAGCCUGACCCAGCAACGCCGCGUGAGGGAAGAAGGCUUUCGGGUUGUAAACCGUCUGUCCUUGGUGACGAACAAAUGACGGUAGCCAAGGAGGAAGCCCGGCUAACUACGUGCCAGCAGCCGCGGUAAAGUCUAG